rnacentral:pre_miRNA from 1 species
AAAGAUCAUAGUUUUACACUGUUUAUGCUGAACGUUUUACCAUCUGUCUUAUUUUAAAAAAAUUAUAAUUACUACUUUUGUUGUUAUUAGAUGAUAAAACAUGGAUAGUAUUUUAUGUGUGACUAUUUUUUAAAAAAAUUAUAUUUUUUUAAAUAAGAUGAAUAGUUAAACAUUAGACAUGGAAAUAUACAACUGUAGUUAAA